AAAAACAUGGCCUUUUGAUUAUAAUUUAAGGUCUAGCCUGCCCUAUGAAUAUUAAAUGGCCGCAGUAUUCUAACUGUGCAAAGGUAGCAUAAUCAAUAGUUUCUUAAUUAGAAGCUUGUAUGAAAGGUCUUAUGAGAAAAUAACUGUCUCUAUUAAAAUUAAAUAGAAUUUUAUUUUUAAGUAAAAAAGCUUAAAUAUUAAUUGAAGACGAGAAGACCCUAUAGAGUUUAAUAUUUAUGUAUUUAAUAUACUUUAGUAUUUUAAUUUUAUUAAAUAUAAUAUUAUUUAGUUGGGGUGAUUGCAAAAUUAAUUAAACUUUUGUUUUAUAUUUACAUUUAUUUAUGAUUAUUUGAUCCUUAAUUAAAGAUUAUAAGAUAAAAUUACCUUAGGGAUAACAGCGUAAUUUUUUUUGAGAGAUCUUAUCGAUAAAAAAGAUUGCGACCUCGAUGUUGGAUUAAAGUUAAUUUAUGGUGUAGAAGCUGUAAGAUUAGGUCUGUUCGACCUUUAAAACUUUACUUGAUCUGAGUU
rnacentral:rRNA from 1 species